AGCAACUUGGAGCAGCAAAAGGAGCCUCUGAGGAUGAACACAUCUACUUCACACAAAGAUACCAUGAGAUUAAAUCCAACAACAUGUGCAGGCUUCAUCCAGAAAGUCCUUCUGAUUCUUGGAUAAGGAUUCAUGCAGGUGAGCUGGAAGGUGAGAGGAUAAGGAAGACUACUUUUUCUGCAUUGGUUUUGACUUCUUGAUGACCUUUCUGUGGAUGAACCAUAAAGAUACAAACAGAAACAGAUUAAAAAACCAGUGUGAUCAAGAGAAUGAAGAAAGGAAUCCCCAGGAUUAUAUAAACAGCCUGGAAAUCAACCACUUAGAGUGAAGCAGAUCAGAAGGCUGGGAAAUGAAGGUGGAAUUGAUAGAUUAUGUAAAGUGUCUGAAUGUACUGGGAGACUUAUACAACCAAGGGAAAAUUUGGAGAUAAACUGAGAUGAGUAUAUAAAAAAAAAAAAAAGAAAGAAAGA